AAUCUCGUGCGCCAGCCAUUUUUAGUUUGUGGGAAAAGACACCCCACCCCCUGGUUUACAAAAUUUGAGUUCGAGAAAUUUUUUUAUUAUUCUACAUUAUAAGUACCCAAAGAAGCUGUAUAUAUCAAAAACUGGAUACUAAUAGCUGUUUUGCGAAAUUGAGAGCAAUUUCAAAUCUGUUCAGUUUUUUUUAUACAUCCUGUAUAGCUGGAAGGCUCCCGAUGGAGAUCAAUAGGAUAAUUAACGACCUUCGCUAUGUGCGGAGGGGGGUUCGAAUAGGUAAUGACGCGCGCACUAUAUGUAGCUGGAACACUUCUAAACUACGCCAAAGGAAUAUUGAAGUAGAAAUUUGUAGAAAAGAAUAUUGUAAAACCUUGGUUAAUCCACAUAUUCCUACGUGUUGCCGCAUUACCCACCCACGUACGAUUUGAUUUCUUUAAUCCCCUCCCAUGCACAAAUGUGGGAUCAACCACAAAUUUGAUAAUCCGUAGCUUGGACGUCAAGACCAUACUUGAACUUUUUAGAACGCCUACUCUAGUAAAAACAUGCAAUAACUUUGGUAUACACGUACGCUUACUCAUGCAGUAUGAAAAUGUAGUUUCAAAACCCAUAUUUUGAGAAUGCUUUGAAACGUUUCCUGAUUAAAUAUUAUUACUACCUUGGUUACUACUUGUGUACUGUAAAAUUAAACAUGUGUACUGUAAAAUGUCUGUAUAUAUUGUGUGUGUAAUGUCUAUGUCAGGUUCUCUGUUGAAACUGAUUAUUUGUAAUCAUAUAUAAUAAAUUUUGCAUGGCAAUGGAACACAAAUACGAACGUCACACGGACAUCACCUGGGAUGGUGUGGAAAAUUAUAAUUAGAUUAUAAAGACCACAAAAUAGGAACAAAAUAUCUGUAAACGUGUUUCACUUGCGCAAGGGAAAUUUGUGAUAGAGAAAAUAUGUCAGUUUCUGUUUUGCCAGUAUAAAUAUGGGCUGAAACGUGGG